UACGUAGGGGGCGAGCGUUGUCCGGAGUUACUGGGCGUAAAGGGCAUGCAGGCGGUCCGACACGUUUUGUGUGACAGCGGGUGGCUUAACUACCCGAGGAUACGAAAGACGGUUGGACUUGAGGACUCGAGAGGGACACGGAAUUCCGGGUGGAGUGGUGAAAUGCGUAGAGAUCCGGAGGAACACCGAAGGCGAAGGCAGUGUCCUGGCGAGUGACUGACGCUGAGGUGCGAAAGCCAGGGGAGCGAACGGG
rnacentral:rRNA from 1 species